rnacentral:rRNA from 1 species
UACGAAGGGGGCUAGCGUUGUUCGGAAUUACUGGGCGUAAAGGGCGCGUAGGCGGCCAUUCAAGUUAGGUGUGAAAGCCCUGGGCUCAACCUAGGAAUUGCACUUGAUACUGUUUGGCUUGAGUUCGGGAGAGGUGAGUGGAAUUCCCAGUGUAGAGGUGAAAUUCGUAGAUAUUGGGAAGAACACCAGUGGCGAAGGCGGCUCACUGGACCGACACCGACGCUGAGGCGCGAAAGCGUGGGGAGCAAACAGG